AUGGACAUGAGGUUUCCCACUCUGCUCCUGGGGCUCCUGCUGCUCUGGCUGUCAGGUGCCACAUGUGACAUCCAGAUGACCCAGUCUCCAUCCUCCCUGUCUGCAUCUCUAGGAGACACAGUCACCAUCACUUGCAAGGCCAGUCAGAGCAUUAGCAAUUAUUUACACUGGUAUCAGCAGAUACCAGGGGAAGCCCCUAAGCUCCUGAUCUACAGAGCAUCCAGUUUGCAAAGUGGGGUCUCAUCAAGGUUCAGUGGCAGUGGAUCUGGGACAGAUUUCACUUUCACCAUCAGCAGCCUUGAAUCUGAAGAUGUUGGAAAUUAUUUCUGUCAGCACUCUUAUAGUAACCCACCCACAGUGUUACAAGCCAUAACAUAA